rnacentral:rRNA from 1 species
UUUAUGGAGAGUUUGAUCCUGGCUCAGGAUGAACGCUGGCGGCGUGCCUAAUACAUGCAAGUCGAGCGAACAGACGAGGAGCUUGCUCCUCUGACGUUAGCGGCGGACGGGUGAGUAACACGUGGAUAACCUACCUAUAAGACUGGGAUAACUUCGGGAAACCGGAGCUAAUACCGGAUAAUAUAUUGAACCGCAUGGUUCAAUAGUGAAAGACGGUUUUGCUGUCACUUAUAGAUGGAUCCGCGCCGCAUUAGCUAGUUGGUAAG